CCUAAAUGGAGUGGCUAUGGUGCCCCUGACUUGUCGGGGGUGAAAAGGGAAGCCGGUGCGAAUCCGGCGCUGCCCCCGCAACUGUAAGCGGCAAGCAAGGUUGAGGACGCCACUGGGAAACCGGGAAGGCCAGCCGAGCGAAAACCCGCGAGCCAGGAGACCUGCCAUGGCAUGCGAACGACA
rnacentral:ncRNA from 2 species